rnacentral:rRNA from 1 species
CGAGAUCUUCGGAUCUAGUAGGCGCACGGUGUGCGUAACGCGUCGGGAAUCUGCCCUUGGGUUCGGAAUAACUUCUGGAACCGGAAGCUAAUACCGGAUGAUGACGUAAGUCCAAAGAUUUAUCGCCCAAGGAUGAGCCCGCGUAGGAUUAGCUAGUUGGUGGGGUAAAGGCUCACCAAGGCGACGAUCCUUAGCUGGUCUGAGAGGAUGAUCAGCCACACUGGGACUGAGACACGGCCCAGACUCCUACGGGAGGCAGCAGUAGGGAAUAUUGGACAAUGGGCGAAAGCCUGAUCCAGCAAUGCCGCGUGAGUGAUGAAGGCCUUAGGGUUGUAAAGCUCUUUUACCCGGGAUGAUAAUGACAGUGCCGGGAGAAUAAGCUCCGGCUAACUCCGUGCCGCAGCCGCGGUAAUACGGAGGGAGCUAGCGUUGUUCGGAAUUACUGGGCGUAAGCGCACGUAGGCGGCUAUUCAAGUCAGAGGUGAAAGCCCGGGGCUCACCCCGGAACUGCCUUUGAACUAGAUAGCUUGAAUCCAGGAGAGGUGAGUGGAAUUCCGAGUGUGAGGUGAAAUUCGUAGAGUUCGGAAGAACACCAGUGGCGAAGGCUGCUCACUGGACUGGUAUUGACGCUGAGGUGCGAAAGCGUGGGGAGCAUACAGGAUUAGAUACCCUGGUAGUCCACGCCGUAGACGAUGAUGACUAGCUGUCAGGGCACAUGGUGUAUUGGUGGCGCAGCUAACGCAUUAAGUUAUCCGCCUGGGGAGUACGGUCGCAAGAUUACAACUCAAAUGAAUUGACUGGG